UGCUCAGGAACCCUCCCUUACCUCUCCCUCGGGUACCAAUGCUUUAGUGUGCCAAGCAGAGGACAGAAAGAGCAAACAAUUUGCCCAAGGCCACAGAGCCAGCAAGUGGCCUGAUCCUAAUAUAUCUGACUCGGAGCCUGUGUAACGGCUCCAAACUGGAGAGAAGCUAUGCCGCGGUCUCCAGCUCCGGUGUAGCCUGGUUACUUGAGGUUUCUUUUGAUCCCUGUUUGUCACUCCCGAUAGCCAGUUUUCCGUCUCACUGAGCCCAGUCACGUGGGCCCAUCUCUGUCCUCCAUCUUUCUCUGUUACAUUGCACAGGCACGGUCAAACAGACUGUAUGAAUAUUCUGGGUAAAGCUGGGGGGGUGUGGCUUAGGGGUGCCAGCACUCGUGCAGACCCCACUCUUUAAGUUCACCUUCUGAGACAAGAAGCGUUAGGCGCCCUCUAGGCUAGGGCGGAGUGGUUGGAUUACAAACACUGUGCUGUCAUGGCUAUCCAUCCAGAUAGCUCAGGCUGGGAGGGCUAAUGACUGUGGGGAACGAACAGGCUGAGAGCUACCCAAGUCUCUUCCCUCUUCCCCUCACCUCCCUCCGGAGUCAACAAAGGUGAUGUGGUUUCUCUUGUGGUCUGUUGCCCUAGACACCUGCAGCUCUGAAUAUACGUGUGUGUGUGUGUGUGUGUGUGUGUGUGUGUGUGUGUGUCUGUGUACUGGCAAAGUGGUGGGGAGACGCAUGGAGAAAACACUGGGACAGGAUGGGGAGGGGCAGGAAGCCAGGGACAGUUUCUUCAACCCCAAGGUGAUGGGGAAACCAGUGUCAAUGUUAGCAGAGGCUACCCCUUGACGACCCCCCACAAGGAGCAUAAGGAAAGAGCUGGAAGAGAAGCAUUGUGGACCUCAGGUUCCAGGCCUGAGAGUAGAACUUCAGUUCUAGGCCAGUUCAGCCACGAGCUUCUUGGGUGCUGCCUAAGCCUCUGUUUCCUGCUCUGUAAACCAGCAAGAUCUUGGCUGCCUACUUCACAGGCAGAGUCAGAAAUCGCAUGAAUAAUAUAUGCAAGCGUUCACACCACCGACUUGGAGUUUGUGUCAUUGGGUGGCUUGAGCAGUGCCCGUGCAAGCUUUGGAACCUUUGCCACUAGAGUGUGUGAGCUAGUAUAAUCGUUUAUUGUCGCUCCUGGAUAAACCACACACACACACACACACACACACACACAACACACAGAGGAAUGUGGAGAUAAAGAACACUAAAUAUAAAAACAAAAACACAAUGUGUUGAAGAAACCAAACACACAGCAUACUUGAAAGCCUCUCACAAAGCCAGCUAUGUGAAAGAUGUCUUGGUUUACAUGAUCUUGGCUCAGUCACAGCCUCCCUCUUGGGUCUCAGUUUCCCCUCUGCCGCUUGAGUGCCUGGCUCCAGAUCAGUGCUCCUUUUCUCUGAGUCUAAAGUCACUUUCCGAUUCUGUUAUCCCAAGUGUUAAUGAGUACUUGGCAGGGAGGAGAGGCUUCAGGUCUGAGGAAGAUCAGAGCUGAGAGCAGCCUGGCUACAGGAAGUCCUGAGCUGAGCUGGGUUUUGACAGAGCCUAGAAGUGUGAAUCAGUGGGGCUAGGGGUGGGGGUGACAUUCCAGGUAGGGAGAAUGGCAUGCACAAGGGCAAGGGCGAGGCUAGGAAGCUGAGGGGUGGCAAACAGAUUAGCGAGGCUCAAGAAUGAGGUUGGCAAGGGCUGGAGGGAGCCUGGGGAGGAAGUCGGGAAGGGGCAGUCCCCAGGCCGAGUAGCUAAGCUGGGAAAGUGGGGGAGGAAGGUGGGUGGGGGAAGAGACUCUCUCAGCCCAGAAAUGGAUGCCAAAGCGCAUCUAGCCAAACUCCAAUCACCCCUGCCAAGAGGACUCACCCACCAGAGAAGGCCCUUCCCACCCCUCCCUGCUCUGCUAGCUCAGCCCCACCCCCAGCCCCCGAGGUGAGCCAGGACCCCCGAGGCCAGGGCCUCCUCCACCAAGAAACAGAUGGGGCACCACCCCAUCCUCGGGGCAAUAAUGCAGCAAUAAAAUAAUAAUCACGGCUAGGAACUAUGACAGAAUAAAUUGUCUUCUACCCGCCCUCUGAUAUAGUAGGUCCCACAGCGGCGAAACUUCAGAGUGUGACUCUUCUAUUUACUAGAAUCUGCUUCUUUGAGCUACGGGAGAUUUAUAAGGUCACUAAUGAACAAAGUCCCCUGACCAGACAUGACCUUAAAGCUACAAAGUCCUCCUAGUCCCCCUGGUAUGUUCUAAAACUCACAGGCCAUUGGCAGGUCUGGUUCAGUUUGGGGCUCCCUGAUCUAACCCACACCAUUCCUUGCAGAUGAAGAGACUGAGGCAUGAGGGGAGAUAGCUUGCCAGGGGUGACAUGGUUAACAAGUGGCAGGGCAGGGAGAAGACUUCUGCUCUAGCCUUCUAGGUCAGUACUCCUUCUCCAAGCCAGCAGCCCAGCCCCAGCCGCCAGUGCCAGCAGAGAUUACGGUCAGGGAGGCAGCCACUGGGCCAUACUCUAAUCAUGAGAAGAAAUCCAUUUGAGUUGCAAAAUACCUUUCUGCAUCCAGUUUGCAAUUACUCGCUCCAGUGGGCCCCUGCAGGGACACUGUGGUCCACCCACUGGCCUGCUUGACAUUGGCCUUGUCAUAUCUCCCAGCAUGACCCUCUGUUCCUAGUAGUUGCUCUGACUGGAGAAAGAAAGAGCCCGUUCUGUACAGAUCUCCUCUUUGUGGGCCAUGGCCUCAGAAUGUCAGGAGAGAGGAGAGAAGGUCUUGCCCAGUGGGGACACUCUUCCCCUCUCCCAGAAGUGUCUUCUAAAAUGAAUUUGAGUUGUGUGUGUGAGUGUAGUGGGGUCCACAUAGAGAGCAUGGAGUUAAAGGUCAGGGGGAAACGCUGAGCUCUUAAGGCACCCACUCCUCUUUAUCUGCUCACAGGAGCAUCUACUGUGGCAUACUUCAUCGUAGAGGCGGGAUAAGCCACCAUCUACCAUGGAGGAAGUCAUCUUUACCCAAAGAGAGUCUUGGAAGAGAACCUGGAGCUCAGAAGGCUACCCACAACAGCAAGGAACACCAGCAGCAUGGACUACAGAGGAACCUUACAGAGAGGGCUCCACCAGGUCAUCAGCCCAUUGUGGAUUGGAUCAGGGAAGUGGACAAAAAGGUUAGGCAUGGAGCAAGCACAAGAUGUGCCUAAGAUGCAAGUCGUGAAUUUGGAGGCCCAGGGUCAAGGCCUCUUGCUCUGGACUGAAGAUUGGGAGGACCCCACUUCCUCUUUGAGAACACUAGCCUGGGUUUGGAGAUAUGGCUCAUCGGUUAAGAGUUCUUGCUGCAUUUGCUGCUCUUCCAGAGGACCCUGGUUCGGUUCCCAGCUCCCAUGUGACUGCUAACCACCACCUAAUAACUCCAGAUCCAGGGAUCCAAUGUCUUCUUCUUAGCCUCACAGGCACCAGGCACUCAUGUGUUGCAGGCAAAUUAAUACAAAGGAAAUAAACAGAUCUUGAAAGGCAAAUGGCAGCCUCCACUUCCUCUUUCCCUUCUCCAAAGAGCCCCAAACUCAGGUGGAAUUAGGGAAUUUGGGGUUGGGGAGACAAAUUUGUAGGGAAAUGUGGAACCAAGCUAUGAACAGGUUUGAGGUUCUUGGAAGACAACUUGAAGAUACAGAGGUGACAGUGGUCCUCUGGAGCUCAGAAGAGGAAACUAAAUAAACCAAUAGGCUGAAGAAUGGAAGCUGGGGGAGAACUGAGUGGAACAGGCAGAAACCGAACU